rnacentral:rRNA from 1 species
UACGAAGGGGGCUAGCGUUGCUCGGAAUCACUGGGCGUAAAGGGUGCGUAGGCGGGUCUUUUAAGUCAGGGGUGAAAUCCUGGAGCUCAACUCCAGAACUGCCUUUGAUACUGAAGAUCUUGAGUUCGGGAGAGGUGGGUGGAACUGCGAGUGUAGAGGUGAAAUUCGUAGAUAUUCGCAAGAACACCAGUGGCGAAGGCGGCUCACUGGCCCGAUACUGACGCUGAGGCACGAAAGCGUGGGGAGCAAAGCAGG